GGACUUUUUCAUCCCAUUAAUUAAUUGUAGAGCAACUAAACCGUGAAAAGCUACAGACGGGAACUUUACUGACCGCUCUCUUGGCAGGUCUGCUGUGACAGCCGCCGAGGGGAAGCACCCACUAAUAGAGUCAGCUAAUUAUGGAGAUGGCACAUUUGUCAGAAAUGCGUCCCCCUCGCAACCCUGGCGCAACCCUCCCGCCGUCCUCUGCAGAUGCCCUGUGUUUUCAGGCAGGAGGGAGGGGUGCAGACAGACAAACGCACCCUGUUGUAAUUAGCUAGCAGGGAGUGCUCGGCGACCUGUGAGGGGAGUCGAAUGGCGGCCGCUGCUCACGGGUAUUGUUUUGGCUCCAGACACAACAGAAGCUCUGCUGAUGGGGUGUGUGUGUGUGCAAUAAAAUGGAAAGGUAGAGAGUGGGAAUGCAAGUACAAAGGUACAAUGAAAGGCUUUUCGCACCACUUUUCCGUGAUGUGGUUGUGCAACCUUGUCAGACUUCAGCAAUGUUUUGAUUGUAACGUCUGUACAGACCUUUCUAGAUUAGAGUCACUGCAUUUGUUUUAAUCACGAAAGAUCGCUUGUGUGUGGUUUUGUUUUAAAGUGUGACUGUUAAAAAGAACUAAAACAAAA